rnacentral:rRNA from 1 species
GAACGCUGGCGGCAUGCCUUACACAUGCAAGUCGAACGGCAGCAUGGAGGAGCUUGCUCCUCUGAUGGCGAGUGGCGAACGGGUGAGUAAAGCAUCGGAACGUACCGUGUAGUGGGGGAUAACGUAGCGAAAGUUACGCUAAUACCGCAUACGCCCUGAGGGGGAAAGCGGGGGAUCGAAAGACCUCGCGCGAUUAGAGCGGCCGAUGCCUGAUUAGCUUGUUGGUGGGGUAAAAGCCCACCAAGGCGACGAUCUGUAGCGGGUCUGAGAGGACGACCAGCCACACUGGGACUGAGACACGGUCCAGACUCCUACGGGAGGCAGCAGUGGGGAAUUUUGGUCAAUGGGCGCAAGCCUGAACCAGCCAUGCCGCGUGCAGGAAGACGGUCCUAUGGAUUGUAAACUGCUUUUAUACAGGAAGAAACAACUCUACGUGUAGAGUCUUGACGGUACUGUAGGAAUAAGGAUUGGCUAACUCCGUG